rnacentral:rRNA from 1 species
GUUGAACGCUGGCGGCAUGCUUUACACAUGCAAGUCGAACGGCAGCGCGGGCUUCGGCCUGGCGGCGAGUGGCGAACGGGUGAGUAAUGCAUCGGAACGUGCCCAGUAGUGGGGGAUAGCCCGGCGAAAGCCGGAUUAAUACCGCAUACGACCUGAGGGUGAAAGCGGGGGACCGAAAGGCCUCGCGCUCUUGGAGCGGCCGAUGUCGGAUUAGCUAGUUGGUGGGGUAAAGGCUUACCAAGGCGACGAUCCGUAGCUGGUCUGAGAGGACGACCAGCCACACUGGGACUGAGACACGGCCCAGACUCCUACGGGAGGCAGCAGUGGGGAAUUUUGGACAAUGGGGGCAACCCUGAUCCAGCCAUGCCGCGUGCGGGAAGAAGGCCUUCGGGUUGUAAACCGCUUUUGUUCGGGAAGAAAUCCUCUGGGCUAAUACCCCGGGGGGAUGACGGUACCGGAAGAAUAAGCACCGGCUAACUACGUG